rnacentral:snoRNA from 1 species
AAUACAAUGAGGAAUACUUAUUAAGCAAUUCCUUGAGUCUUUCCCAUGCCUCGUAUAAGGACACGCCAUCUAAUUAUUGGAAAGUAGUUAUCUCAUUUUGAAACU